rnacentral:rRNA from 1 species
UACAGAGGGGGCAAGCGUUGUUCGGAAUUACUGGGCGUAAAGGGCGCGUAGGCGGCCUUCUAAGUCGAACGUGAAAUCCCCGGGCUCAACCCGGGAACUGCGUCCGAUACUGGAAGGCUUGAAUCCGGGAGAGGGAUGCGGAAUUCCAGGUGUAGCGGUGAAAUGCGUAGAUAUCUGGAGGAACACCGGUGGCGAAGGCGGCAUCCUGGACCGGCAUUGACGCUGAGGCGCGAAAGCGGUGGGGAGCA